AAGGUUUUAAGUUAAAUUAAAACUAUUAAUCUUCAAAAUUAAAAAUAUAAAUAAAUUUUAAACCUUA
rnacentral:tRNA from 1 species